rnacentral:rRNA from 1 species
AGUGAACGCUGGCGGUAGGCCUAACACAUGCAAGUCGAACGGCAGCACAGUAAGAGCUUGCUCUUACGGGUGGCGAGUGGCGGACGGGUGAGGAAUACAUCGGAAUCUACUUUUUCGUGGGGGAUAACGUAGGGAAACUUACGCUAAUACCGCAUACGACCUACGGGUGAAAGCAGGGGACCUUCGGACCUUGCGCGAUUGAAUGAGCCGAUGUCGGAUUAGCUAGUUGGCGGGGUAAAGGCCUACCAAGGCGACGAUCCGUAGCUGGUCUGAGAGGAUGAUCAGCCACACUGGAACUGAGACACGGUCCAGACUCCUACGGGAGGCAGCAGUGGGGAAUAUUGGACAAUGGGCGCAAGCCUGAUCCAGCCAUACCGCGUGGGUGAAGAAGGCCUUCGGGUUGUAAAGCCCUUUUGUUGGGAAAGAAAAGCAGCAGGUUAAUACCCCGCUGUUCUGACGGUACCCAAAGAAUAAGCGCCGGCUAACUUCGUG